rnacentral:lncRNA from 1 species
GAAAUUUAACUCUACUGCUGUCUUAACACUGUCAAAAUAUUUUCUAUGCGGAUACAGUGUUGUAAAUCCUUGGAGAGUGGGUAUUAACCUGGGGAUGGUCUGUAAGUCACCGUGGGAGAGCUGUGUGACGUCUCAACUCCGUCUCUCCAGAACAAGCUUUACUCAUCUGCAAAACCAAGAAUUUGGAAUCUUCUGCCCCACCGGCACCAAUCCCAGCUGGCGGGAGAGACAGAGGGAAUGAACAGAGACACUGGUUUAUAAGGGACACAGAAUCAGAUGGACCGCUUCACUUCAGGAGUUGAUCAUGCUGUACACAGAGUGAUGUCAGCAGAAAUUGCAGAGUAAAGACCUCCAGAAAUCCUUCUGUCCAUAAAAACAAUGGAACGCUAGCAAAAAUUCUGAUAAUCAGCCUUGGUAGAACUCUGGAAAUUAACCAAAGGCUUGAAGUAAACUGAGAAGCAUUUAUUUAAGAAAAAUAGAUGAAUCUGAGUAAGAACAUUGAAUUGUAUGACAUUUUAACUUGCCCUAUUCACAAUGUAAGCGGACCUUUCUUACUAGAUAUCAAGAUUAUUGUUAAUUUCUAAUAAAGAAAACAACAUGUUUCAGCGACAAACAUAUAGAACGGUGGGCAGAACAAAUAGCCCAGAGAAGAAUCAUACAUAAAUGGGCACGAUAUUUGAGAGAGAGAGCAUAACAGAUCCGUGGAGAAAUGCAGACUGUUCAACAAAAGGUGCUGGAAAAGUGGGAAUCCAUGUGGGAAAAAGAAACAAAAUUGGACUACUACUACUGCAUACUGUAUCUGCCCAAAAUUCCCAGAAGAAAUAAAGAUCUAAUUGUUAAAGGCAAAACUACUAUUUUAAAGAAAUUAAUAUAAAAUUUUAUUUGUAAUUUUUGAAUAGGGAAGAAGUUCUUUAAAAAUAUAGAAUAGCUUCCAGUAUAAAAGUGAUAGAUAAGUUCAAUUACAUUAAAAUGAAACCUUUUGGUCCUCAAAGUACUAGAAGAAAGUGAAGACAAGCCACUUUAGGAGAUGUGAGAGAAGAUAUGCACAAAACAUACAAUGGACAAUUAACUUGAUUUGGGAGUAUAUAUAUAACACUCCUACGUAUGAAAAAUAUGAAACUCACCUGGCCACAUAACUCCAUGAAAAUAUGUUUAAUCUCUUUAAUAAUCAAGAAUAAGCAAAAUGAUACUGCAGUAGCUUAACACUACUAAUCACAAAGAUUUUCAAAAACUUUAAAAAUCAGAAAACACCAAUUGUAUUAGAUUGAAUUAUUGGUUUCGACACUUCAUUCCUCUGUAAUGCAAUUCCACAUGUGCAUCCUCGCUGUGGUUUCUUGGUGUGUAAAAUGAAUGUUCUUGCUCCUUGACUUUGGCCUUGUUUGCGAUUUGCUUUGACUAAUGGAAUGUCAGUGUACAUGACACAAACAGUGGCUUAAAAUGGGCUU